rnacentral:lncRNA from 10 species
CUGUCAGAGGCAUUUUAUCAUUUCACAUCAACACAAGAAGGCCUAUACUCUUCCUGCAUUUUCAGUGACCUCACUGACUGGAAACUGGGCACCUCGUUCCUUCUCACAAGUGUCAUAAUACACCAUGAGGUGGUUGGGUCCCAUUUCCAGAACAACCAGAGUGACGUCUGAACAAUGCUCUCUAAACAAGAUCUUCAUGUCUGCUCCCAAAGAGGGUUGCUACAUUCUUAGCUUCCCUCAAUUUAAUUCUUUUAUGAUAAAAAGAAGGGUGAACAGAAAAUGUUCAGAGCAAUCAUCCUCUGAAAAUUCAUAUAAAUGACAGCAGAAAUACAAGAAGGAGAUUGGAUUUCAAUCCUCUUGGAAACAAUUGAUUUGGAAGUGGUCUGUGGUCUAAAGAUUUUGACAAAAUUUUAGGAGCAAGUAAAGAUGAUAUAAAUAUAUAAAGAGACAGAACAGAAGGGAGAUAGCCACAUUUCAGAAAACAUGGAGAAAUUAUACAAGUGAUUCUUCCCAGGAAAUUCUUCAGAAAUGUCCAAAGAAAAAAUUAUGGACUUACAAAUCUGACUGUGCGAUGACUGCAAAAUCCUCCUUUAUCUUCCUCUCCCUGACAUGCAUGCAAACACACACACACACACACACACACACACACACACCCUGAGAUUUGCAUCAUUUGUCUUUAGGCUAAAAUAAGGGAAAACAUUUCAAAAUGAUUUACCGAUUUUUUUAAAUGAUGGGCACAGUAACCAUAAUUAAGUCUUCCGUAUUUGGCAUUGGAAUGAAGGUAACGGGAUCAAACCCUUCUAUUUACUUCUCCUUACUCAUCCAAAGAUGCAGUCAACCAUCAACAAACACUUCCCUAGUAUACUGCCCACAAAGUCAGCUCGUAAAUUCAGGGAAAAUAGUUUAUAAGGGUCUCAAGGCUGUUUAAAAACACCAACACCAUAAGAGAGAUGGAGUAGGUGGAAAAAAUACACAAAGAAAGUGCAACGAACAGAAACAACUAAAAUAAACAAGGAACAUUCAGCAAAAAUUUUAAAUGUUGUAUUAUCUGUUAUGAUUUUUCUUUUACUUUUCCUUCAUAAGUAAACCAUUUAUUUUUCUGAAAAUUUUGAGUGUAUUCUUUCUAUCAUCAUUAUGCUUAAACGUGAUGGGAAACUUACUGGGCAUUAUUUACAAGGCACAUUUCUCCACACACUUGUUCCUUUUCUUUUCAAUAACUUUCAUCUAUGUAAGCACAACAGGCUCCCUUAUUUUGCUCUGUUCUUCUGCAAAGUCACCUUCCAUAUGAAAAGACUUCCCUGGAAAGUAUUGCCUUCCCACUCUACCUAAAACUUCAGUGUAUUUUCCAGAUAUUCUAUAUGCCCUCUCCUGAUGUGAUUUGUUCUCCUUAUAAUUUUGCACUGAUUGUUAUACUAUAUUUAUCUUGAUUAUUGUCUUUCUCCUCUACCAAAAUGUAAGAACUGUAAGUGCAAUGACAUUUUUCUCUUUUAUCACUGUAUUCCUGGCUCCUAGAGGAGCACCUGACAUGUUAUAAUUGUUCUUACUGAAGAAAAUAAAUAACUGAUUUGGUGAAAAAC